GAUGAACGCUAGCUACAGGCUUAACACAUGCAAGUCGAGGGACCGGCGCAUGGGUGAGUAACACGUAUCCCACCUGCCCUUUACUCGGGGACGGCCUUUCGAAAGAAAGAUUACUACCCGAUAUAAAGGACGGGGAUGCGUUCCAUUAGGUUGUUGGUGAGGUAACGGCCCACCAAGCCUUCGAUGGAUAGGGGUACUGAGAGGAAGGACCCCGACAUUGGAACGGAGACACGGUCCAAACUCGUACGGGAGGCGGCAGUGAGUAAUAUUGGUCAAGGGGCGCUAGCCUGAACCGGCCAAGUAGCGUAUAGGGUGAAGGGUUAUGGGUCGUAAACUUCUUGUAGAUAAGAAUAUGUAUUAUAUAAAUAAGAAUCGGCUAACUCCGUGCCAGCAGCCGCGGUAAUC
rnacentral:rRNA from 1 species